rnacentral:rRNA from 1 species
AUUGAACGCUGGCGGCAGGCCUAACACAUGCAAGUCGAGCGGAUGAAGGGAGCUUGCUCCUGGAUUCAGCGGCGGACGGGUGAGUAAUGCCUAGGAAUCUGCCUGGUAGUGGGGGAUAACGUCCGGAAACGGGCGCUAAUACCGCAUACGUCCUGAGGGAGAAAGUGGGGGAUCUUCGGACCUCACGCUAUCAGAUGAGCCUAGGUCGGAUUAGCUAGUUGGUGGGGUAAAGGGCUACCAAGGCGACGAUCCGUAACUGGUCUGAGAGGAUGAUCAGUCACAUUGGAACUGAGACACGGUCCAGACUCCUACGGGAGGCACCAGUGGGGAAUAUUGGACAAUGGGCGAAAGCCUGAUCCAGCCAGGCCGCGUGUGUGAAGAAGGUCUUCGGAUUGUAAAGCACUUUAAGUUGGGAGGAAGCGCAGUAAGUUAAUACCUUGCUGUUUUGACGUUAACAACAGAAUAAGCACCGGCUAACUUCGUG